rnacentral:tRNA from 1 species
GGGUGAUUAGCUCAGCCGGGAGAGCAUCUGCUUUGCAAGCAGGGGGUCGUCGGUUCGAUCCCGUCAUCCUCCA